rnacentral:rRNA from 1 species
UAGGGAAUCUUCGGCAAUGGACGAAAGUCUGACCGAGCAACGCCGCGUGAGUGAAGAAGGUCUUCGGAUCGUAAAACUCUGUUGUUAGAGAAGAACAAGGACGUUAGUAACUGAACGUCCCCUGACGGUAUCUAACCAGAAAGCCACGGCUAACUACGUGCCAGCAGCCGCGGUAAUACGUAGGUGGCAAGCGUUGUCCGGAUUUAUUGGGCGUAAAGCGAGCGCAGGCGGUUUCUUAAGUCUGAUGUGAAAGCCCCCGGCUCAACCGGGGAGGGUCAUUUGAAACUGGGAGACUUGAGUGCAGAAGAGGAGAGUGGAAUUCCAUGUGUAGCGGUGAAAUGCGUAGUUAUAUGGAGGAACACCAGUGGCGAAGGCGGCUCUCUGGUCUGUAACUGACGCUGAGGCUCGAAAGCGUGGGUAGCAAACAGG